CUCAGCACUUAUGUCGAGGCUGUUAGCUUGGCUGCCGCUUUAAAUUUUGCAUAUGGUGCAGGGAGAUUGACGCCGUUAAAUAUGCGAUUUGCCUGUCACCGGCCUUUCCAGAGGCGGAUCAAGAGGAACAUAAACAAGCCGCAGAUACGCUUGACGUAGGUAUUUGGCGGCAUCAUUUUAUACGGCUGGAGAUUAGCGAAUGGAAACUUGGAAAGAAAUCGUCCAUAUUUUUGCAAGUUUGAAGUGUGCCGGGACUUUGUCAGAUUCCCGUUAAAAUAAAUAUGUCAAUUUCAUCUCCCUUCCAAAUUCGUUUAUCUUGCUUUUUUCAAAGGUGUUUCCUCCUCUACCUGCGGUUUAAAUUGGAUUCGCCGGUUGACGCCGUCCUGUGCUGUAUCCCCACGUUUUCCUUAAACGAAUUACUAAUGACAGAGCACUCCAUCACUUGCUUUCUGCAGCCACUUUAAGGAAAGCAUGGUGAUCUAAACCUUUUAACCUAUUAAAGAUGAUUUUCCCCAAUUGAAUCAGACCCACCACAGGUGUAAUAACUAAUGAUUUAAACUACACCUGCUAUUAUGUAUUUUUAAGCCAUUAUGCGUGUUGGAUAGAUGAUAAUUCAUGUUUAUUGCAUUGUCCGAUGGAUCCGUUUUGCCUACACUAGGCUGAUUAAUGUAUUUAAAGAAAUAAGAGAUGCAAUUUUUUAAAAAAAAAAUUGAUGGAAUGCAGCAGGCUGUGCAUUGAGUGCUCCAUUAAACCCAUCAGAACUUUGCUCUCUGACCAGAAACGCAUAUGCCCAGGGCCGUGUUCAGACAGCAAGCCAACGGCAACAACGGGAAAGAAUGACUUCCUGGAGUGUUGAAUUUAUCACGCAGACACCAAGCCCCAGCGAUAAUCCUGGUGGCAAAAAAGAUAAAAUAGUAAAUAAAUAAAAAGCGAUUUUUGUGGA